GAUGAAGAACGUAGCGAAAUGCGAUAAGUAAUGUGAAUUGCAGAAUUCAGUGAAUCAUCGAAUCUUUGAACGCACAUUGCGCCCCCUGGUAUUCCGGGGGGCAUGCCUGUCCGAGCGUCAUUACAACCCUCAAGCUCAGCUUGGUGUUGGGCCCCGCCGCCCCGGCGGGCCCUAAAGUCAGUGGCGGUGCCGUCCGGCUCCGAGCGUAGUAAUUCUUCUCGCUCUGGAGGUCCGGUCGUGUGCUCGCCAGCAACCCCCAAUUUUUUUCAGGUUGACCUCGGAUCAGGUAGGGAUACCCGCUGAACUUAAGCAUAUCAAUAAAGCGGAGGA
rnacentral:misc_RNA from 1 species